UACGUAGGUGGCGAGCGUUGUCCGGAUUUACUGGGCGUAAAGGGAGCGUAGGCGGACUUUUAAGUGAGAUGUGAAAUACUCGGGCUCAACUUGAGUGCUGCAUUUCAAACUGGAAGUCUAGAGUGCAGGAGAGGAGAAUGGAAUUCCUAGUGUAGCGGUGAAAUGCGUAGAGAUUAGGAAGAACACCAGUGGCGAAGGCGAUUCUCUGGACCGUAACUGACGCUGAGGCUCGAAAGCGUGGGGAGCAAACAGG
rnacentral:rRNA from 1 species